UAAUCUGAAAAGGCUGACGUAUUCCUUCAAAAAUCAGCUCCACUGUUUACUUUAAGAAGCAUCAGCAAGGUAAGUAAAAGCUACUACAUAAUUUAAAGUGCCAUAAAAAGCAAAACCAUAACCACAACAUUAACUGGACUGAGUAAAAACAUUACCUCUAUCUGCUGUUAUGGUAAAUCAAUACUCAAGUAAGUGUUAUAAUCUAAUAACAACAUCAGCAGGGGUUGAUUUUUGUGUGCGCUUCUGUUGUGUGUGGGAGUAAAGACACUGGGGAACAAUUUGCUCUAUACUUUCUCCAAUACUUACACAGGAAGAGUCUGUUCAUGAUGUUCGCUGGGAACAAAAUAUUCAUAUGGAUUCAUAUCACAUCUUCCACAGAGGCACAACUUAACCGAAAUUUCAAGAGGGGCAUUUCUAAACACACUCCUUUCUUUUUUGUGAUUAUUGUGAUUUUUUAAUAUGAAAAGAUAUUAUUCAUCCCAAAUACACCAGGUGAGACUUACCCUCCCAAAUGUGCUGCAAUUUAGCAUUUUUAUUAAGAAAUCUUAUUUAGAGUUAACUAAAUAACAGCAAAUGUGUUGUCUUUUAUGAUAUAUUCAUAAAAUUAAUACAUGUGUGAAUAAAAUUGACUAUCAAUGUCACACAGUAAAAAAAUUUUUAACCCCAAAUUAGGUCGAGUUGAAAGUUUUGAAUUGUUACAAAGAAAAAAAUCAUUGCUUUUGAGAUGUUCAUAAAUUCACUCGAAGAAAUACAGGUGUAAGCUUUUAAAAACAAAUAGUCACCACUUUAAAUGAAAAAAAUACUGCUUUUUUUGAUCAUUCAAUAUGAAAAUAAAAUAGAGAAUAUUUUUUGUUGUGUUAUUUUCACAUCCGUACAAAAGAAAGACGUUCAACCGUCACACUCGUGCAGACAGCACUUUCUUUCUCUUUUUGCACUUUAAAAUUCAAAAGUUGGAAAAUGUCAUUUGUUCGUGAAAUAAAUUGAUAAUUAAAUUACUUGAUUAAAAACUCCAUUCACACGCACACCAGCAAUUACCGAAAUUUGCUGCACAUAGCUCCAUAAAUUGUAAAACUAUGAGGGCAAGUUUCUUUUAUGUUAUUAACAGGUAGAUAAAUGUAUUUACAUUAAAAAAAAAUAAAACUUUAGGCUGUUACAGUCCUACAGGUGAAACUUUCAUGAAAAUUUCUUGCACUUUUUCAUUUUUAUAAAAGGCAAGUAUUAAACGUUUCAGGAGAAAAUAGGGGGCACAGUUAUUACAUUUAAAUAGUUAAACAUGAAAAAGUUUUCAGCUCUUCUAGAGGGAUAAGCAUCUGUACAAAAUGUCAAACACCGCACUUUUACACACACACACACACACACAACACACACACACACACAUACCUCUGCAGCUACGGUAUAUUCAGUGAGCUCUAAUACAGCGUUUAGUUGAAAGAGAAACAAACAGCCGUAUCUUUUUUUCUGGGUGAUAUGCCACAUUGGUCAGGUUGAGUGUUUUAUCCCCAGAAGAGGUGAAGAACCGUCUGGAGCUCCUGAGUGCUUCAAAGUACACCAGAUACAUGUCUACAAAUGUAACUCUUCUAUAGCAUGUUAGUGUGCCCUCAGUCUCGCCCUCUCUAUCGCUCUCUCUUUCUUUGGAUUAUUAAUUUAUAGCUUUGGGUGAGAAAGGAAACAGUACUCCCAAGUCAAAGCUUAACUACACUGGGAAAAGACAGAAAGGAUCUAAAUAUAGACGGAAACAAAGCAAAGUGUGUUCAGUACAGUAUGAGAAAUAAGCCCUCUGAGAACAGGCUCUCAUAAUUCAGCAACAUAGUUUCAUGUAAUAACAGUCAAAAACUGAACCUUUAAACAAAAGGCUUCUGUGUCUCUUUUAUCCUUUAACACAGAUUCAAUCCAACUGGGUCAUCAUUUUCCUCGCUCUCUGCACAAUACUGGAUUCUCGGUCCGAGCUGGGCCUGCGAACAGCUCUGCAUGAGCCGUUCUCAAACAAACAAAGCCUAAAUAGGCCACAAGAUCUAUACUUAGUCUUUAGAUUUUAC